rnacentral:rRNA from 1 species
GACGGAGGAUGCAAGUGUUAUCCGGAAUCACUGGGCGUAAAGCGUCUGUAGGUGGUUUAAUAAGUCAACUGUUAAAUCUUGAGGCUCAACCUCAAAAUCGCAGUCGAAACUAUUAGACUAGAGGAUAGUAGGGGUAAAGGGAAUUUCCAGUGGAGCGGUGAAAUGCGUAGAGAUUGGAAAGAACACCGAUGGCGAAGGCACUUUACUGGGCUAUUACUAACACUGAGAGACGAAAGCUAGGGUAGCAAAUGGG